UCGUACGAGAGUUUUAAACUCAAGUGGCGGACGGGUGAGUAACACGUAAGAAUUUACCUUUAGGAGGGGGACAACAGCUGGAAACGGUUGCUAAUACCCCAUAUGCUUUCGAGUGAAAUGGAUUUUUCCGCCUAGAGAGAAGCUUGCGGCUGAUUAGCUUGUUGGUAAGGUAAUGGCUUACCAAGGCGACGAUCAGUAUCUGGUUUGAGAGGACGAUCAGACACACUGGAACAGAGACACGGUCCAGACUCCUACGGGAGGCAGCAGUGGGGAAUUUUCCGCAAUGGGCGCAAGCCUGACGGAGCAAUCUCGCGUGAGGGAUGACUGCCUAUGGGUUGUAAACCUCUUUUUUCAGGGAGGAAUUAAUGACGUGUACCUGAAGAAUAAGCAUCGGCUAACUCCGUGCCAGCAGCCGCGGUAAGACGGAGGAUGCAAGUGUUAUCCGGAAUCACUGGGCGUAAAGCGUCUGUAGGUGGUUUAAUAAGUCAACUGUUAAAUCUUGAAGCUCAACUUCAAAAUCGCAGUCGAAACUAUUAGACUAGAGUAUAGUAGGGGUAAAGGGAAUUUCCAGCGGAGCGGUGAAAUGCGUAGAGAUUGGAAAGAACACCGAUGGCGAAGCACUUUACUGGGCUAUUACUGACACUCAGAGACGAAAGCUAGGUAGCAAAUGGGAUUAAUACCCCAGUAGUCCUAGCCGUAAACAUGGAUACUAGAUGUUGAACAGAUGACCUGUGCAGUAUCAAAGCUAACGCGUUC
rnacentral:rRNA from 1 species